rnacentral:ncRNA from 1 species
UAUCUGCGCAGCGAUGCGCAUCUGCGGUUCUUUUGAACCAAUGAUAUAGGAAUCGGAUGAAAGUUCCGGGCUAACCCAGUAACCGUGAAGCUGACAAGACGCAAUGAAACCACUGCCGGACGGCGGGAAGGUGCGUCAGCGGAUGAAGCCAAGCCGGGAGACUUGUUUACACCGUGAAUCAUUG